rnacentral:rRNA from 1 species
UACGUAGGGUCCGAGCGUUGUCCGGAAUUACUGGGCGUAAAGAGCUCGUAGGUGGUUUGUCGCGUUGUUCGUGAAAACUCACAGCUUAACUGUGGGCGUGCGGGCGAUACGGGCAGACUUGAGUACUGCAGGGGAGACUGGAAUUCCUGGUGUAGCGGUGGAAUGCGCAGAUAUCAGGAGGAACACCGGUGGCGAAGGCGGGUCUCUGGGCAGUAACUGACGCUGGAGGAGCGAAAAGCGUGGGGAGCGAACAGG